rnacentral:lncRNA from 1 species
ACGUUAAAAACGUUAGGUUUAUACACUCCCAUAAGCUCCUCCUUUGGAAGAGAAUAGAAAACAAGCAACUUAUGACUACACACUUCAUUGACGAGACACAAAAGAAAAAACAACACGUUAAUUUUCAAAAGGUUUUGACAAGAUCGAUUUUAUAUUUCUUCAUCACAGACCGUGCUUAUUUUCAAGGAAAAUAAUACUUGUUUUGCAAACAUCUGGAUUAAAUUUUUUUGUUUUUGUUUUCUGAUGAACUUAAUAUUGAGGGUUUUAUUUGGUUAUAUUUCGGGUGGUUAUUAAAUUUUUUGGUGUGUAAUUUGGUGAUAGUUUUAUUAGAAAACUCACAUUUGUGUUUUGUUGAUGUGCAGGCAGGUUCUAAGUGUAGAUGUGAGAAGAAAAAGGUGAAAAGGUCCAAGAAUAUACAAAUGAUAGGAAAGAAGAGUUUUUGAUAAUUGAAUACAACAUUUUAGAAGUAAAAUGGUGACAAUGAAUGAAGAUUCAAGCAAUGGAUAGUAGGAUUUAGAGGUUGGAGCUAAAGUUUCUCUCUAGAAACAUAUGCUCCAACUUCAACAGAUGAUAUCUUCCAAUAUAUAAGAAUUUUAUCAUUAUUCUUAUGGAAAAAUGUAUCUUUGAGUCUAGUUUCCCACAGUUCAAACGGCUCGUCAUUUCGACUCUCCUACAUAAAGUUAUGGUAUUUUUACCGGACACUGCCAUAGAUGCGCAACCACAUACGCGUCCAAGUUUCCAGGUGCGCGGCCGCGCACAUACGUCUCCGAAAAAUAUUAAUCAGGCCUAUUAUUGUAAAUACGAGGCAAUCCCCUGGACCUAUAUGAAGCAAAGUGUAGAUGUGAGAAGAAAAAAGUGAAAAGGUCCAAGAAUAUACAAAAGAUAGCAAAAGAGAGUUUUUGAUGAUUGAAUACGAUGUUUUAGAAGUCAAAUGAUGACAAUAAAUGAAGAUUCAAGCAAUGGAUGGCAAGAUUUAGAGAUUGAAGCUAAAGUUUCUCUCUAGAAAUAUAUGAUCCUUUAACAGAUGAUAUCUCCCAAUAUACAAGAAUUUUUAUCUUUCUCAUUGAAAUAUAGAUCUUUGAGUCUAGUUUCCAACAGUUCAAACGGCUCAUCGUUUCGACCCUCGUACACAAAGUUAUGAUAUUUUUACUAGACACUGCCAUAGAUGCGUGCCAAAGUUUCCAGGUGCGCGACCAUAUACAUACGUCUGGAAAAAAUAUUAAUCAGGCUUAUGUUAAAUACGGGGUAAUCCCCUGGACCUAUAUGAAUCCUAAGCUCGUCCCAAACUAGGUAUCUUGGAUUUUGGAGUAACUUUUGGAAAGAAGAAGGCAAGGAAACAUCAUAGACUUUGAAUACUUCAUCCGAAUCAUUCAAAACGAAAGUUUAUUUGAAUUCGUGGGUUGUAAUAUUUUCUUGUUUUCUUAAUUCUCUUGUGAUGAACAAUUUUUCUACUAUGAAGUAGUCUUUCUUAGGGUU